AACGAACGCUGGCGGCAGGCUUAACACAUGCAAGUCGAACGGGUGUAGCAAUACAUCAGUGGCAGACGGGUGAGUAACACGUGGGAACCUUCCUAGGGGUACGGAACAACUCAGGGAAACUUGAGCUAAUACCGUAUACGUCCGUGAGGAGAAAGAUUUAUCGCCCUUAGACGGGCCCGCGUCGGAUUAGGUAGUUGGUGGGGUAACGGUCUACCAAGCCGACGAUCCGUAGCUGAUCUGAGAGGAUGAUCAGCCACACUGGGACUGAGACACGGCCCAGACUCCUACGGGAGGCAGCAGUGGGGAAUCUUGGACAAUGGGCGCAAGCCUGAUCCAGCCAUGCCGCGUGAGUGAAGAAGGCCUUAGGGUUGUAAAGCUCUUUUACCAGGGACGAUAAUGACGGUACCUGGAGAAUAAGCCCCGGCAAACUUCGUGCCAGCCGCCGCAGUAACAC
rnacentral:rRNA from 1 species